AGCCUCUUCAUUUUUGGAUCGCGCUUGGUCCUUGAAAUGCAAGUUUUUUUUUUUUUUUUUUUUUUUCAAGGAAGAUCAAUGUAAUGUAUAUUUAUUCAAUAAUAUUUUCUGAUUAUUAUUGCAGAUUUUCAGGGGAUUUUAUUAUACUAUGCAAUAUUUAUAUAGUUUACAUGAACUAUUUUUCCAUUAAAAUUAAUUUAAUUCCGAGACUCUUAAUUUUUUGGUCAUGCUUUGUUUCCUAAUAUUUAAGUGUCUUU